rnacentral:rRNA from 1 species
GACGAACGCUGGCGGCGUGCUUAACACAUGCAAGUCGAACGGAAAGGCCCUGCUUUUGUGGGGUGCUCGAGUGGCGAACGGGUGAGUAACACGUGAGUAACCUGCCCUUGACUUUGGGAUAACUUCAGGAAACUGGGGCUAAUACCGGAUAGAAGCUCCUGCUGCAUGGUGGGGGUUGGAAAGUUUCGGCGGUUGGGGAUGGACUCGCGGGUUAUCAGCUUGUUGGUGGGGUAGUGGCUUACAAAGGGUUUGACGGGUAGCCGGCCUGGGAGGGUGACCGGCCACAUUGGGACUGAGAUACGCCCCAGACUCCUACGGGAGGCAGCAGUGGGGAAUAUUGCACAAUGGGCGGAAGCCUGAUGCAGCAACGCCGCGUGCGGGAUGACGGCCUUCGGGUUGUAAACCGCUUUCGCCUGUGACGAAGCGUGAGUGACGGUAAUGGGUAAAGAAGCACCGGCUAACUACGUG